rnacentral:rRNA from 1 species
UGGCUCAGGAUGAACGCUGGCGGCGUGCUUAACACAUGCAAGUCGAAUGAUUUACUACAUGGCGGACGGGUGAGUAACGCGUGAGCAAUCUGCCCAUAUCAGGGGGAUAACAGUUGGAAACGACUGAUAAUACCGCAUAACAUCAUAGGAAGGCAUCUUCUCUUGAUCAAAGAUUUAUCGGAUAUGGAUGAGCUCGCGUCUGAUUAGCUAGUUGGUGAGGUAACGGCUCACCAAGGCGACGAUCAGUAGCCGACCUGAGAGGGUGAUCGGCCACAUUGGGACUGAGACACGGCCCAAACUCCUACGGGAGGCAGCAGUGGGGAAUAUUGGUCAAUGGAGGAAACUCUGAACCAGCAACGCCGCGUGAAUGAUGAAGGUCUUCGGAUUGUAAAGUUCUUUUCUAAGGGAAGAAGAUAGUGACGGUACCUUAGGAAUAAGCCUCGGCUAACUACGUGCCAGCAGCCGCGGUAAUACGUAGGAGGCAAGCGUUAUCCGGAAUGACUGGGCGUAAAGGGUGCGUAGGUGGUUUGGCAAGUUAGUAGCGUAACCCCGGGGCUCAACCUCGGAACUACUACUAAAACUGUCGGACUUGAGUGCAGGAGGGGCAAUUGGAAUUCCUAGUGUAGCGGUGGAAUGCGUAGAUAUUAGGAGGAACACCAGUGGCGAAGGCGAAUUGCUGGACUGUAACUGACACUGAGGCACGAAAGCGUGGGGAGCAACCAAGAUUAGAUACCCUGGUAGUCCUCGCCGUAAACGAUGAAUACUAGUUGUAGGGGGAUCGACUCCCUCUGUGACGCCGCUAACGCAUUAAGUAUUCCGCCUGGGGACUACGGCCGCAAGGUUGAAACUCAAAGAAAUUGACGGGGACCCGCACAAGCAGCGGAGCAUGUGGUUUAAUUCGAAGCAACGCGAAAAACCUUACCAGGCCUUGACAUCGAGUGAAAUCCAAGAGAUUGGACCCUCCUUCGGGACACGAAGACAGGUGCUGCAUGGUUGUCGUCAGCUCGUGUCGUGAGAUGUUAGGUUAAGUCCUGCAACGAGCGCAACCCUCAUAAAUAGUUGCCAUCAUUCAGUUGGGCACUCUGUUUAGACUGCCGUGGUUAACACGGAGGAAGGUGGGGAUGACGUCAAAUCAUCACGGCCCUUACGGCCUGGGCUACACACGUGCUACAAUGGCUAUUACAAAGAGUUGCAAUAUGGUAACAUGGAGCGAAUCUCAAAAAGAUAGUCUCAGUUCAGAUUGUGGGCUGAAACCCGCCCACAUGAAGUAGGAGUUGCUAGUAAUCCCGAAUCAGAAUGUCGGGGUGAAUGCGUUCCCGGGUCUUGUACACACCGCCCGUCACGCCAUGGGAGUUGGGAGUACCCAAAGUCGGCGACCUAACCGCAAGGAAGGAACCGCCUAAGGUAAUACCAAUGACUGGGGUGAAGUCGUAACAAGGU